CCUACGGGGGGCAGCAGUGGGGAAUAUUGGGCAAUGGGCGCAAGCCUGACCCAGCAACGCCGCGUGAAGGAAGAAGGCUUUCGGGUUGUAAACUUCUUUUCUCAGGGACGAAGAAAGUGACGGUACCUGAGGGAUAAGCCACGGCUAACUACGUGCCAGCAGCCGCGGUAAUACGUAGGUGGCAAGCGUUAUCCGGAUUUAUUGGGUGUAAAGGGCGUGUAGGCGGGAGCGCAAGUCAGAUGUGAAAACUCAGGGCUCAACCCUGAGCCUGCAUUUGAAACUGUGUUUCUUGAGUGCUGGAGAGGCAAUCGGAAUUCCGUGUGUAGCGGUGAAAUGCGUAGAUAUACGGAGGAACACCAGUGGCGAAGGCGGAUUGCUGGACAGUAACUGACGCUGAGGCGCGAAAGCGUGGGGAGCAAACAGGAUUAGAUACCCGAGUAGUC
rnacentral:rRNA from 1 species